UACGUAGGGGGCAAGCGUUGUCCGGAAUUACUGGGCGUAAAGGGCGUGUAGGCGGUUUUUUAAGUCAGGCGUUAAAAUUCGGGGCUCAACCCCGGAAUGCGUUUGAAACUGGAGAACUUGAGUACUGGAGAGGUAAGUGGAAUUCCUAGUGUAGCGGUGAAAUGCGUAGAGAUUAGGAGGAACACCAGUGGCGAAGGCGGCUUACUGGCCAGAUACUGACGCUGAGGCGCGAAAGCGUGGGGAGC
rnacentral:rRNA from 1 species